UUAAAAUCAAGAAUAACUAAACAAUUGGAUUUUAUAUGGGCACUGAAAUUCAGAUAGAUUCGAAAAUAUCUUUUUGUAGAAAAAUGCUCCAACAUGAGCAAAAUUGUCACUUUCCUGUGGGGCGAUUUUCCAAAACGCAAGUUUUCUACCGACAUAAUGCGUAAAGUAAAUACAUAAUUAAAUCAAUCAAUACCUAAUCACAGUAACAAUUAGUCAAACUUUGCUAAAACUUAAAAAAAAGUUUCGUGGCUCUUUAUUUUUUGACGAUUUUUAAUCAUUGAAUAGGGGCGACAAGAAUUGUGUAUCACAUUCCUGUCAGCUAAAAACGUGUCAAGAAUACCUAUAAAUUGAAUUUUGACAGCUUUCGCCAGAUUUCUAUGACAAAGUAGGUAGUUAGGUAAGCUCAUUGCCGCUUAUAGUUCCGCGUAACAGCCAAUCAGACAGUCGCGACGAAGCUCUCAUCGACCGCAGACGCGUUCGGGACAGACAACUUCUCACUUGUAUGAAACCAAAAUGUCACAACCUAAAAAAAAAGACCAGGGAAGAAGUACUAGCACAGAAGCAAAAAAAUAAAAUAAAGAAAACGUUAUGGAAGAAUGAAAAAUGAUCCAGGGAAGUUAGGUACUUUGAAAGAAAAGAAAAAAACUGUAUUAGGUAAUUAAAGUCAAGAAGUACGUACAGGAAAGAUAAAAACAAUAUCCGAGAUGACUGAACGACAAAGAAAGACACGAAACGGAUUCUGAUGAUUGUUAUUGAAUGAUCUGUGGAUUGUUAUAUGAAAAAGACACAACAGGUCAAGAUUGGAUUAAAUGCAUGCAAUAACGUCAUCAAUGGGCGCAAUGUAACUGCAUCAAAACGGAUAUAGUAUCGUUCGAUUCUUUUUUUCUUCAAUUAUCGUUCAAUUAGGCCUGCCUGGUUAUCGCAUAAAGACUAUGCAAUGCAAACUUAAACUGACCUAUGUAUUUAGAGAAUUUUCGACUGAUUAUUAUAAAAAAAACACUGAAAUUAUAUAUGCCUUUCUAAUAAUUAAGUUUCUUUAAAGUACUACCUGAAAAAAGGCAGCUGAUUAUUUUGUAUAAUGUAUUCAUUUCAUAGAAUGGGUUGAUUUUUUUUAACUCUUUAAGACAAAUUUAGACUAUUAAAUUACAGACUUGUUUAAAACCGACUAUCAUUAUUUAUUGUGCCUCACUAUUAAAAUUUUGUAAUUCAUUGUUUUUAAAUAAAAAAUAAAUCUGA